rnacentral:rRNA from 1 species
UACAGAGGUCCCAAGCGUUGUUCGGAUUCACUGGGCGUAAAGGGUGCGUAGGUGGUGAGGUAAGUCGGAUGUGAAAGCUCCGAGCUCAACUCGGAAAUGGCAUUGGAAACUACCUUGCUCGAGGGUUUGAGGGGGGACUGGAAUACUUGGUGUAGCAGUGAAAUGCGUAGAGAUGUGGAGGAACACCGAUGGCGAAGGCAGCCCCCUGGGACGGUACUGACGCUGAGACGCGAAAGCGUGGGGAGCGAACAGG